rnacentral:rRNA from 1 species
GACGAACGCUGGCGGCGUGCUUAACACAUGCAAGUCGAACGAUGAAGCCUAGCUUGCUAGGUGGAUUAGUGGCGAACGGGUGGGUAAUACGUGAGUAACCUACCUUUAACUCUGGGAUAAGCCCGGGAAACUGGGUCUAAUACCGGAUACGACCAAUCUCCGCAUGGGGUGUUGGUGGAAAGCGUUAUGUAGUGGUUAUAGAUGGGCUCACGGCCUAUCAGCUUGCUGGUGAGGUAACGGCUCACCAAGGCGACGACGGGUAGCCGGCCUGAGAGGGUGACCGGCCACACUGGGACUGAGACACGGCCCAGACUCCUACGGGAGGCAGCAGUGGGGAAUAUUGCACAAUGGGCGCAAGCCUGAUGCAGCGACGCCGCGUGAGGGAUGACGGCCUUCGGGUUGUAAACCUCUGUUAGCAGGGAAGAAGAGAGAUUGACGGUACCUGCAGAGAAAGCGCCGGCUAACUACGUG